GACGAACGCUGGCGGCGUGCUUAACACAUGCAAGUCGAACGGAAAGGCCCUGCUUUUGUGGGGUGCUCGAGUGGCGAACGGGUGAGUAACGCGUGAGUAACCUGCCCUUGACUUUGGGAUAACUUCAGGAAACUGGGGCUAAUACCGGAUAGGAGCUCCUGCUGCAUGGUGGGGGUUGGAAAGUUUCGGCGGUUGGGGAUGGACUCGCGGCUUAUCAGCUUGUUGGUGGGGUAGUGGCUUACCAAGGCUUUGACGGGUAGCCGGCCUGAGAGGGUGACCGGCCACAUUGGGACUGAGAUACGGACCAGACUCCUACGGGAGGCAGCAGUGGGGAAUAUUGCACAAUGGGCGGAAGCCAGAUGCAGCAACGCCGCGUGCGGGAUGACGGCCUUCGGGUUGUAAACCGCUUUCGCCUGUGACGAAGCGUGAGUGACGGUAAUGGGUAAAGAAGCACCGGCUAACUACGUG
rnacentral:rRNA from 1 species